rnacentral:rRNA from 1 species
UACGUAGGGUGCGAGCGUUGUCCGGAAUUAUUGGGCGUAAAGAGCUCGUAGGCGGUUUGUCGCGUCGGCCGUGAAAACUUGGGGCUUAACUCCAAGCUUGCGGUCGAUACGGGCAGACUUGAGUUCGGCAGGGGAGACUGGAAUUCCUGGUGUAGCGGUGAAAUGCGCAGAUAUCAGGAGGAACACCGGUGGCGAAGGCGGCGACCUGGGUCGAGACUGACGCUGAGGCGCGAAAGCGUGGGGAGCAAACAGG